rnacentral:rRNA from 1 species
AUUGAACGCUGGCGGCAGGCUUAACACAUGCAAGUCGAACGGAACCUUCGGGUUUAGUGGCGAACGGGUGAGUAAUACCUAGGAAUCUGCCUAUUAGUGGGGGAUAACGGCUCGAAAGGGUCGCUAAUACCGCAUACGUCCUACGGGAGAAAGAGGGGGAUCUUCGGACCUCUUGCUAAUAGAUGAGCCUAGGCCGGAUUAGCUAGUUGGUAGGGUAAAGGCCUACCAAGGCGACGAUCCGUAGCUGGUCUGAGAGGAUGAUCAGCCACACUGGAACUGAGACACGGUCCAGACUCCUACGGGAGGCAGCAGUGGGGAAUAUUGGACAAUGGGGGCAACCCUGAUCCAGCCAUGCCGCGUGAGUGAAGAAGGCCU